rnacentral:rRNA from 1 species
GACGAACGCUGGCGGCGUGCCUAAUACAUGCCAGUUGAGCGAUGAAGAUUGGUGCUUGCACCAAUUUGAAGAGCAGCGAACGGGUGAGUAACGCGUGGGGAAUCUGCCUUUGAGCGGGGGACAACAUUUGGAAACGAAUGCUAAUACCGCAUAACAACUUUAAACAUAAGUUUUAAGUUUGAAAGAUGCAAUUGCAUCACUCAAAGAUGAUCCCGCGUUGUAUUAGCUAGUUGGUGAGGUAAAGGCUCACCAAGGCGAUGAUACAUAGCCGACCUGAGAGGGUGAUCGGCCACAUUGGGACUGAGACACGGCCCAAACUCCUACGGGAGGCAGCAGUAGGGAAUCUUCGGCAAUGGACGAAAGUCUGACCGAGCAACGCCGCGUGAGUGAAGAAGGUUGUCGGAUCGUAAAACUCUGUUGGUAGAGAAGAACGUUGGUGAGAGUGGAAAGCUCAUCAAGUGACGGUAACUACCCAGAAAGGGACGGCUAACUACGUG